CCUACGGGGGGCAGCAGUAGGGAAUAUUGGUCAAUGGGCGAGAGCCUGAACCAGCCAUGCCGCGUGCAGGAAGACGGCCCUCUGGGUUGUAAACUGCUUUUGAAUGGGAAGAAAAAGCUUCAUGCGUGGAGUGUUGACGGUACCAUUAGAAUAAGCCACGGCUAACUACGUGCCAGCAGCCGCGGUAAUACGUAGGUGGCGAGCGUUAUCCGGAUUUAUUGGGUUUAAAGGGUGCGUAGGCGGCUUAAUAAGUCGGUGGUUAAAAGUAGCAGCUUAACUGUUUUACCUGCCAUCGAUACUGUUAAGCUUGAGUUAUCUGGAGGUAGCUGGAAUUUCCGGUGUAGCGGUGAAAUGCUUAGAUACCGGAAGGAACACCAAUUGCGAAGGCAGGUUACUAUAGAUAUACUGACGCUGAGGCACGAAAGUGCGGGGAUCAAACAGGAUUAGAUACCCCAGUAGUC
rnacentral:rRNA from 1 species